rnacentral:rRNA from 1 species
CCCUUAGAUGUUCUGGGCCGCACGCGCGCUACACUGUUCGACGCAGUGAGUCUUAACCUUGACCGAAAGGUUUGGGUAAUCUUCAGCAAAGUCGAACGUGAUGGGGAUCGAUCAUUGCAAUUAUUGAUCGUGAACGAGGAAUUCCUAGUAAGUGCAAGUCAUCAGCUUGCGCUGAUUACGUCCCUGCCCUUUGUACACACCGCCCGUCGCUACUACCGAUUGAAUGGUUUAGUGAGAUCUCUGGAUUGACGCUGGCUAGGGGGCGACCCUUGGCCAGACUGCUCGAGAAACUGCUCAAACUUGAUCAUUUAGAGGAAGUAAAAGUCGUAACA